GUGGGGAAUCUUGCGCAAUGGGCGAAAGCCUGACGCAGCCAUGCCGCGUGAAUGAUGAAGGUCUUAGGAUUGUAAAAUUCUUUCACCGGGGACGAUAAUGACGGUACCCGGAGAAGAAGCCCCGGCUAACUUCGUGCCAGCAGCCGCGGUAAUACGAAGGGGGCUAGCGUUGCUCGGAAUUACUGGGCGUAAAGGGAGCGUAGGCGGACAUUUAAGUCAGGGGUGAAAUCCCGGGGCUCAACCUCGGAAUUGCCUUUGAUACUGGGUGUCUUGAGUGUGAGAGAGGUAUGUGGAACUCCGAGUGUAGAGGUGAAAUUCGUAGAUAUUCGGAAGAACACCAGUGGCGAAGGCGACAUACUGGCUCAUUACUGACACUGAAGCACGAAAGCGUGGGGAUCAAACAGGAUUAGAUACCCUUGUAGUCC
rnacentral:rRNA from 1 species